AGCUGAGGGCCACCAGGUGCAGAGCAGUGCCCAUGGCGUGAGAGUGGUCCAGAACAAGGACGAAAACCACAACCUCUGGAGCAGCCAGAGCAGGCACUGAACACCACGAAACUGAUGUCACUUCUACACAGGACCAGACCCAGGCUGGCGUGAGACCUGGUUGCUUCUGCGAAGUGAACAAACCAACAAGCAGAAGAGUUCAAACCCCUGAUGAAAGGGAUUAUGAUUUUUGUGCAUGAUGAUAAGACCAGAAGCCAGACUGACAUCUGCAAAGCCCUACCAACAAAGCUUGUUGCCUUGCCUUCAG
ensembl:lncRNA